rnacentral:rRNA from 1 species
GAUGAACGCUGGCGGCGUGCCUAAUACAUGCAAGUCGAGCGAACGGACGAGAAGCUUGCUUCUCUGAUGUUAGCGGCGGACGGGUGAGUAACACGUGGAUAACCUACCUAUAAGACUGGGAUAACUUCGGGAAACCGGAGAUAAUACCGGAUAAUCUUUUGAACCGCAUGGUUCAAAAGUGAAAGACGGACUUUCUGUUACUUAUAGAUGGAUCCGCGCUGCAUUAGCUAGUUGGUAAGGUAACGGCUUACCAAGGCAACGAUGCAUAGCCGACCUGCGAGGGUGAUCGGCCACACUGGAACUGAGACACGGUCCAGACUCCUACGGGAGGCAGCAGUAGGGAAUCUUCCGCAAUGAGCGAAAGCCUGACGGAGCAACGCCGCGGGAGUGAUGAAGGUCUUCGGACCGUAAAACUCUGUUAUUAGGGAAGAACAUAUGUGUAAGUAGCUGUGCACAUCUUGACGGUACCUAAUCAGAAAGCCACGGCUAACUACGUG